CGCCUCCUGCCCAAACCAUAGGAGGUCUAGCCUGCCCUGUGAUGAUAUUUUAACGGCCGCGGUAUCUUGACCGUGCGAAGGUAGCGUAAUCACUUGUCUUUUAAAUGAAGACCUGUAUGAAAGGCAUCACGAGAGUUUAACUGUCUCUACUUUCCAAUCAAUGAAAUUGAUCUUCCCGUGCAGAAGCGGGAAUAAACACAUUAGACGAGAAGACCCUAUGGAGCUUCAAAUACUUAAAUUAAUUAUGUAACUAUAUUAUAUUCCAAGGAUAUAAACAAACAAUACAAUAUUCCUAAUUUAACAUAUUUUUGGUUGGGGUGACCAAGGAGAAAAACAAAUCCUCCUUAUCGACUAAGUAUUUAUAUGCUUAAAAAUUAGAAUGACAAUUCUAAGUGAUAAAACAUUUAUCGAAAAAUGACCCAGGAUAUUUUUAAACCUGAUCAAUGAACCAAGUUACCCUAGGGAUAACAGCGCAAUCCUUUCCAAGAGUCCUUAUCGACGAAAGGGUUUACGACCUCGAUGUUGGAUCAGGACAUCCUAAUGGUGUAACCGCUAUUAAGGGUUCGUUUGUUCAACGAUUAACAGUCCU
rnacentral:rRNA from 1 species